UACGUAGGGUGCGAGCGUUGUCCGGAAUUAUUGGGCGUAAAGAGCUCGUAGGCGGUGUGUCACGUCGUUCGUGAAAACCUGCAGCUUAACUGUGGGCGUGCGGUCGAUACGGGCAGGCUAGAGUUCGGUAGGGGAGACUGGAAUUCCUGGUGUAGCGGUGAAAUGCGCAGAUAUCAGGAGGAACACCGAUGGCGAAGGCAGGUCUCUGGGCCGAUACUGACGCUGAGGAGCGAAAGCGUGGGGAGCGAACAGG
rnacentral:rRNA from 1 species